GGCCAGGGCAACCGUUAGCCUCGUGACGUCACUGUGGAGUACCGCUACUGUGACUGCGGGAACCUCCUCCCCGACACCGCCAUUGUGUACGGCCUUGGAGUGGCAUCCGUCGCUAAGUUACAAAGAGCGACCAACGAGUUUCCUGUCCUACCCCCUCGGGGAAGGAAAAAACUCUUCGAGUGGAUUACAAUUCCUUGAUUCACUGACAAAUAAAAGCCCAGCUACAUCCGCGCGCAUUCUACUGACGUGUGACAAGUUGACAUCAACGGCAAAGUCUCUGAACAGAUGGAGGGAUUCCCAUCAACUGCGAUCCAAAUGAUCACGCCUCUUGUUUUGUGUUUUAUUACAUUUGGCGUUUACCAGCAAGUGCAAGCUUGUGGCGGUGUAUACAAUGCUUCAUCCGGUUCCAUUACGUCUCCAUUGUACCCGAGCCAGUACCCGCCCAAUCAGGACUGUGUUUACAUUAAUCAAUGCAGCAACAGGAUAUCGCAUAACACUGACAUUUCUCCGUUUUGAGCUCGCAAAUGAAACGGUUAGCUGCAAGUACGACUAUCUGCAGAUUAGAGAUGGCGGCCUUAGCACAUCACCGUUUAUGGGUACUACUGUGGCACAACACUUUACCUACGACGAUCAUCGUCAAACACCAUGUGGAUCAAAUUCCAUUCUGAUUCUUCACAAUCCGGAGCUGGCUUUGAGACAGAGUAUACUACAGAUAUAAUCCCCCAGAAGUUCUUCGUCUUCACAGUAUCUCAGUUUCCCGGCAUUUACCGCUCAGACAUCGAAACAAUAGCCUCAUUACCAUUCCUAUUGAUGGCCUGCAAGACCCUGGUGCCAUUGACUACUACCAUCAGACGAGUCGCAUCUACUGGACUGACAGAACAGAGAAGACGAUCAGAUCAGCGAACCUCAAUGGCAGCGACGCUCGACUUGUUCGCAGUUUUGGUCCGUCUCUGUACUAGACGGCCUGUGCGUAGACGCACUGUCCAGGCUCAUCUUCUACACAGACGCAGGCAAUAAAGUCAUCGGCAUGAUCACCAUGUACAGCAACACUCAUCGAAUAGUCAUCAACUCCUCGCUUGACAUGCCGAAAGACAUUGAAGCUUGACAAAUACAAUGGGGUAAUAUACUGGAGCGACCGUGGCGCCACACCUACCAUAGAGCGAGCCAACUAUGACGGUACAGGACGUCAGACUCUGGUCUCAGGGGGCGAGUAUCUCAACCAACCGAACGCCAUCGCUCUCGACACAGUCGGUG